rnacentral:lncRNA from 1 species
GCAGGGAGGGCUGCAAGAGCAGGGAGGGUUGUAGAAGGGCAGAGAAGGCUGUGGGAGAUCACUGAGGAUGGUGGGAGAAAACUGGAUUAUAGAAGAUAAGGAGAUUGUGGGAGAGCACAGGAUUGUGGGAGAAAACAGAAUUGUGGGUAAGGAUAGAAUACUGUGAGAUAGUGAAUUGUGGGAAAGAAGGUACAGUGAGAUAGAGAAUUCACCCUGUGCUCUUCUACCUGCUUUUUCUAUUGGGUCUGCCCCUGUCAGGUCUGGCUGCGCCCUCACAGUCUGGCAGAACCCUGCCCCUGUCUCCGAGGACACACCAUGUUUGCUCCUUCGUGACCACGCCCCCUCCUGCCCGACAACGCCUCUCUUGCUGGAGCCACAUUCGCGGUUAUCCAUGGGCCUGCUGCACUCCGUAACAGUCCCUAAGAAUUGUGGGAGAGUCAUGGAAUUAUGGGAGGGAACAGAGGCUUCUGGGAGACUGUGGAAGAAGCAGGGACUUUUUGGAGAGACAAAGAAGUGUGGCAGACACAUACGUCAAUGGCCUUCUGUGCUUGGUGUGGUUCCUCCUGCGGAAGCCAUAUCUGAGACAGGAAGGGGUGUAAUUUCAGGCUAUGCAUGGGAAUUGAACUGGAUACUGUCAUGGAAGAAUAUCAUAAAGGCGAAUCUCAUCCAUCAUGUGCAUUCAGUUUUUUUCAGACAACACAUGGAAAGAAGCCCAGCCAGAAGACUUGACUUCAGUGAGAUUAAGGAACCCAGCAGCUUUUCCUUUGACACUCAAUUGGUUAUUUUACCCCCUCAUCCUGGUACAUUUCCUUCUCCCUCUUCUUCUUUCUAA